UACAGAGGGGGCAAGCGUUGUUCGGAAUUACUGGGCGUAAAGGGCGCGUAGGCGGCCUUCUAAGUCAGACGUGAAAUCCCCCGGCUUAACCUGGGAACUGCGUCUGAUACUGUGAGGCUUGAGUAUGGGAGAGGGAUGUAGAAUUCCAGGUGUAGCGGUGAAAUGCGUAGAUAUCUGAAGGAAUACCGGUGGCGAAGGCGGCAUCCUGGACCAUAACUGACGCUGAGGCGCGAAAGCUAGGGGAGCAAACGGG
rnacentral:rRNA from 1 species